AUGCCCGUCGAAGCCGCGUCAAGCUCGGAUGAGGAGGAGGAGGAGGAGAUGGCCGCCCUCUCCGAUUGGGAGAUGGCGGCGGAGGAGGGGACCGAUUUCUUCACCGAUUGGGCGAUGGAGGGGACCGCCGUCUUCCCCGAUUGGGCGAUGCUGGAUCGCAUCGGCCGCACCCGCUGCCACAAGGACCUAGACGCUGCUCGUCGGGUUGUCAACAAGAACAAGACCGCCGCUCAACUCCGCAUUGACCACGGCCGCUCCUGCUACGUGUCCUUCACCCUCGCGGCUCCUCCAAAAGGGGUCUCCUACCUCAACCUCCACUGGCCGAUGCGAGAAUGCUCCGACACCAAGCCCCCCGCCUAUCCCUUCGUCCGGGCAACCGACAAGGACCUCGUCCUCUUCGACAUCGACAUCCUGAGCCGGAUUUGCGCCCCGUCAGAUCUGUUCGUCUACACGGCCGCCGGUCCUUCCCCCUCGGUGCAGUUGCUCCCCCGGUACACCGAGGACAGGAGGAGGAAAAGGCGGUUGUUCCUGAUGGAUAAAUUCUCCACAGGCAUCCUGCGGCUCUCGGAGAAGCGCUACAUCGUUGCCGACCUCAGUGUCCUGGAUGGUGCACUCUUCGUCUUCGACUCCUCCCAGACUGAAGAGUGGACAAUCAUCCCCAUUAUGCCUGGCCUGAUACGUUGGCACGCACCCAAGCAGAAGCAGAGCAGUGGCAAGCUCCCCAAGCUCUGGUCAACUGACGAUGUGCUCGCUCUCGACGACCGUUUCCUGUGCUGGGUUGACUACUUCAGCGGUGUCCUGCUAUCUGACUUCUCUUCCACUAGAGGUUCCCCGCCCCUCCACUUCGUACCUUUCCCUGGAGAAAAAGAAUACCCUGAAGAGCUACGGGUCUCAAGGCACUUCCCUGGGAGGUUCCGAAGUGUGUCCAUUAGCCAAGGCAAGAUGCGCUUUGUCCACAUUGACAAUGACUUCCAUGAGACAAUCCACGAUGAUGAUGACUCGCCAUGGCAUCAGCUUCCUCGCAUAACAAGCCAAGGGCAGCAGCAUAAGGGUCCCCAAAAAAUCACCAUUUGGACUUUGAACUCCGACAAAUUCAGUUGGGAGCAACAUGCCAUGAUCAACCUGGAUGGUCUAUGGGCGCAACGUUGUUACAAAGCUCUGGACAUACAGCAGCGUCUUCCCGAGUUCCCAGUCGUCAGUGUGGAUGACCCGGAUGUUCUAUGCUGCCUGUUAAGGGAGAAGGAAUUUGGUGGCAAGGGGUGGAUGAGCGUGAUUGACAUGAAGCUUGCGAAACUGCAGGCAUGUACUCAAUAUAUCAAUCGACGGUCCUACUGUGCUGAGUGCAAGGAUGCGGGCUGUGCUGAGUGUGUGGAUGACAAAAACGAUUUCCCUAAUAUGCCCCUACUUCCAACUGUCUUCUCCUCCAAACACCUUGAAAGGCCAACUGGUAACUACUAG
rnacentral:rRNA from 1 species